rnacentral:rRNA from 1 species
UACGUAGGGGGCAAGCGUUGUCCGGAAUUAUUGGGCGUAAAGAGCGCGUAGGCGGUCCGAUAAGUCGGCUGUGAAAGUCAGGGGCUCAACCCUUGAAAGCCGGCCGAUACUGUCGGACUAGAGUCCGGAAGAGGCGAGUGGAAUUCCCGGUGUAGCGGUGAAAUGCGCAGAUAUCGGGAGGAACACCAAUGGCGAAGGCAGCUCGCUGGGUCGGUACUGACGCUGAGGCGCGAAAGCGUGGGGAGCAAACAGG